rnacentral:rRNA from 1 species
CCUACGGGAGGCAGCAGUGAGGAAUAUUGGUCAAUGGGCGCGAGCCUGAACCAGCCAAGCAGCGUGUAGGAAGACUGCCCUCCGGUUUGUAAAUAUCUUUUGUAAGGGAAUAAAGUGUGGCACGUGUGCCUUUUCGCAUGUACUUUACCAUCAAGGAUCGGCUAACUCCGUGCCAGCCGCCGCGGUAAUACGGAGGAUCCGAUCGUUAUCUGGAUUUAUUGGGUUGAAAGUGAGCGUAGGUGGGUUGUUAAGUCAGAUGUGAAAUGUCGUGGCUCAACCUAGGAAUUGCACUUGAUACGGGCAGGCUUGAGUACAGUAGAGGGAGGCAGAAUUCGAGGUGUAGCGGUGAAAUGCGUAGAGAUCACGAAGAACACCGAUGGCGAAGGCAGCUUACUAGACGAAGACUGACGUUGAGGUGCGAAAGCGUGGGGAGCAAACAGGAUUAGAUACCCCAGUAGUC